rnacentral:rRNA from 1 species
UCUGGGCCAGGCGGCGGCUAACCAUGCAGUCGAACGGUAGCAGGAUGUGCUUGCACAUCGCUGACGAGUGGCGGACGGGUGAGUAAUGCUUGGGAACUUGCCUUUGCGAGGGGGAUAACAGUUGGAAACGACUGCUAAUACCGCAUAACGUCUACGGACCAAACGGGGCUUAGGCUCCGGCGCAGAGAGAGGCCCAAGUGAGAUUAGCUAGUUGGUGAGGUAAAGGCUCACCAAGGCGACGAUCUCUAGCUGUUCUGAGAGGAAGAUCAGCCACACUGGGACUGAGACACGGCCCAGACUCCUACGGGAGGCAGCAGUGGGGAAUAUUGCACAAUGGGGGAAACCCUGAUGCAGCCAUGCCGCGUGUGUGAAGAAGGCCUUCGGGUUGUAAAGCACUUUCAGUUGUGAGGAAAAGUGAGUAGUUAAUACCUGCUCACCGUGACGUUAGCAACAGAAGAAGCACCGGCUAACUCCGUGCCAGCAGCCGCGGUAAUACGGAGGGUGCGAGCGUUAAUCGGAAUUACUGGGCGUAAAGCGCACGCAGGCGGUUUGUUAAGCUAGAUGUGAAAGCCCCGGGCUCAACCUGGGACGGUCAUUUAGAACUGGCAGACUAGAGUCUUGGAGAGGGGAGUGGAAUUCCAGGUGUAGCGGUGAAAUGCGUAGAUAUCUGGAGGAACAUCAGUGGCGAAGGCGACUCCCUGGCCAAAGACUGACGCUCAUGUGCGAAAGUGUGGGUAGCGAACAGGAUUAGAUACCCUGGUAGUCCACACCGUAAACGCUGUCUACUAGCUGUUUGUGACUUUAAGUCGUGAGUAGCGAAGCUAACGCGAUAAGUAGACCGCCUGGGGAGUACGGCCGCAAGGUUAAAACUCAAAUGAAUUGACGGGGGCCCGCACAAGCGGUGGAGCAUGUGGUUUAAUUCGAUGCAACGCGAAGAACCUUACCUACACUUGACAUGCAGAGAACUUUCUAGAGAUAGAUUGGUGCCUUCGGGAACUCUGAAAACAGUGCUGCAUGGCUGUCGUCAGCUCGUGGUCGUGAGA